rnacentral:rRNA from 1 species
CCUACGGGAGGCAGCAGUGGGGGAUAUUGCACAAUGGGGGGAACCCUGAUGCAGCGACGCCGCGUGGGUGAAGAAGCGCCUCGGCGCGUAAAGCCCUGUCAGCAGGGAAGAAAAUGACGGUACCUGAAGAAGAAGCCCCGGCUAACUACGUGCCAGAAGCCGCGGUAAUACGUAGGGGGCAAGCGUUAUCCGGAUUUACUGGGUGGAAAGGGGGCGCAGACGGCGAUGCAAGCCAGGAGUGAAAGCCCGGGGCCCAACCCCGGGACUGCUCUUGGAACUGCGUGGCUGGAGUGCAGGAGGGGCAGGGGGAAUUCCUGGUGUAGCGGUGAAAUGCGUAGAUAUCAGGAGGAACACCGGUGGCGAAGGCGGCCUGCUGGACUGCAACUGACGUUGAGGCCCGAAAGCGUGGGGAGCAAACAGGAUUAGAUACCCCGGUAGUC